ACGAGUGGCGGACGGGUGAGUAAUGCGUAGGAAUUUACCUCAAAGUGGGGGAUAGCCCGGAGAAAUCCGGAUUAAUACCGCAUGUGCACUACGGUGGAAAGCGGGCCCCUACAUGUAAGCUCGCGCUUUGAGAUAAGCCUACGUCGGAUUAGCUUGUUGGUGGGGUAAAAGCCUACCAAGGCGACGAUCCGUAGCUGGUUUGAGAGGAUGAUCAGCCACACCGGAACUGAGACACGGUCCGGACUCCUACGGGAGGCAGCAGUGGGGAAUAUUGGACAAUGGGCGCAAGCCUGAUCCAGCAAUGCCGCGUGUGUGAAGAAGGCCUGCGGGUUGUAAAGCACUUUUAUCAGGAAAGAAAAACACAGGGAUAACACCCCUGUGCCUUGACGGUACCUGAUGAAUAAGCACCGGCUAACUCCGUGCCAGCAGCCGCGGUAAUACGGAGGGUGCAAGCGUUAAUCGGAAUUACUGGGCGUAAAGCGAGUGUAGGCGG
rnacentral:rRNA from 1 species